rnacentral:rRNA from 1 species
GAUGAACGCUGGCUACAGGCUUAACACAUGCCAGUCGAGGGGAAACGACGGGGAAGCUUGCUUCCCCGGGCGUCGACCGGCGCACGGGUGAGUAACGCGUAUCCAACCUGCCUCUGACUGAGGGAUAACCCGUCGAAAGUCGGCCUAAUACCUCAUGGCAUCGUCUGCGGGCAUCCAACGACGAUUAAAGAUUUCAUCGGUCAGGGAUGGGGAUGCGUCUGAUUAGCUUGUUGGCGGGGUAACGGCCCACCAAGGCUACGAUCAGUAGGGGUUCUGAGAGGAAGGUCCCCCACAUUGGAACUGAGACACGGUCCAAACUCCUACGGGAGGCAGCAGUGAGGAAUAUUGGUCAAUGGGCGGGAGCCUGAACCAGCCAAGUAGCGUGCAGGAUGACGGCCCUAUGGGUUGUAAACUGCUUUUAUGCGGGGAUAAAGUGAGGGACGUGUCCUUCAUUGCAGGUACCGCAUGAAUAAGGACCGGCUAAUUCCGUG